AGAGUUUGAUCCCUGGCUCAGGAUGAACGCUAGCGACAGGCUUAACACAUGCAAGUCGAGGGGCAGCAUGAUUUGUAGCAAUACAGAUUGAUGGCGACCGGCGCACGGGUGAGUAACGCGUAUGCAACUUACCUAUCAGAGGGGGAUAGCCCGGCGAAAGUCGGAUUAAUACCCCAUAAAACAGGGGUCCCGCAUGGGAAUAUUUGUUAAAGAUUCAUCGCUGAUAGAUAGGCAUGCGUUCCAUUAGGCAGUUGGCGGGGUAACGGCCCACCAAACCGACGAUGGAUAGGGGUUCUGAGAGGAAGGUCCCCCACAUUGGUACUGAGACACGGACCAAACUCCUACGGGAGGCAGCAGUGAGGAAUAUUGGUCAAUGGCCGAGAGGCUGAACCAGCCAAGUCGCGUGAAGGAAGAAGGAUCUAUGGUUUGUAAACUUCUUUUAUAGGGGAAUAAAGUGGAGGACGUGUCCUUUUUUGUAUGUACCCUAUGAAUAAGCAUCGGCUAACUCCGUGCCAGCAGCCGCGGUAAUACGGAGGAUGCGAGCGUUAUCCGGAUUUAUUGGGUUUAAAGGGUGCGUAGGUGGUGAUUUAAGUCAGCGGUGAAAGUUUGUGGCUCAACCAUAAAAUUGCCGUUGAAACUGGGUUACUUGAGUGUGUUUGAGGUAGGCGGAAUGCGUGGUGUAGCGGUGAAAUGCAUAGAUAUCACGCAGAACUCCGAUUGCGAAGGCAGCUUACUAAACCAUAACUGACACUGAAGCACGAAAGCGUGGGGAUCAAACAGGAUUAGAUACCCUGGUAGUCCACGCAGUAAACGAUGAUUACUAGGAGUUUGCGAUACAAUGUAAGCUCUGCAGCGAAAGCGUUAAGUAAUCCACCUGGGGAGUACGCCGGCAACGGUGAAACUCAAAGGAAUUGACGGGGGCCCGCACAAGCGGAGGAACAUGUGGUUUAAUUCGAUGAUACGCGAGGAACCUUACCCGGGUUUGAACGUAGUCUGACCGGAGUGGAAACACUCUUUCUAGCAAUAGCAGAUUACGAGGUGCUGCAUGGUUGUCGUCAGCUCGUGCCGUGAGGUGUCGGCUUAAGUGCCAUAACGAGCGCAACCCUUAUCACUAGUUACUAACAGGUGAAGCUGAGGACUCUGGUGAGACUGCCAGCGUAAGCUGUGAGGAAGGUGGGGAUGACGUCAAAUCAGCACGGCCCUUACAUCCGGGGCGACACACGUGUUACAAUGGCAUGGACAAAGGGCAGCUACCUGGUGACAGGAUGCUAAUCUCCAAACCAUGUCUCAGUUCGGAUCGGAGUCUGCAACUCGACUCCGUGAAGCUGGAUUCGCUAGUAAUCGCGCAUCAGCCAUGGCGCGGUGAAUACGUUCCCGGGCCUUGUACACGCCGCCCGUCAAGCCAUGGGAGCCGGGGGUACCUGAAGUCCGUAACCGCAAGGAUCGGCCUAGGGUAAAACUGGUGACUGGGGCUAAGUCGUAACAAGGUA
rnacentral:rRNA from 1 species